rnacentral:lncRNA from 1 species
CUGUAAGCCCCGCUUCCUCUUGGAUGCCAGCUCCUCCUCCAGCUUACUCACCUUACUCUUCUCUUUUUCCAAUUUCAAGCUCAGUUCUGCCGUCUUCUGACUCUCUUCUGCUGCUUUGGCAGUGGCUUUCUUGCACUCUACAACAAGCAUGGAGGACAGCUGCUUGUGGCGUGCCCUCUCCUCCUCCAACUGGCUCGAGAGCUUCUUCUGUUCUUUCUCAAACUUUUUCACCUGGGAUUUUUCAAACUCCAGCUGCUGGGUGAGCCGCUCCCGCUCCUUCUCCAGCAUGUAGGUGACAUCAUCCCCCUCUGCUGUGUCCUGGGCAUGCCGCUGCCUCUCCUCCUCCAGGUCCAGGAUCACCUUUCUGUGCCUGCUUUCUGCAGCAGCUAGUUGGGAUAACAUUCUUUCCUGCAUAUUCUUGCA